ACUCCUACGGGAGGCAGCAGUGGGGAAUAUUGGACAAUGGGCGCAAGCCUGAUCCAGCAAUGCCGCGUGAGUGAGGAAGGCCUUCGGGUUGUAAAGCUCUUUCACCCACGACGAUGAUGACGGUAGUGGGAGAAGAAGCCCCGGCUAACUUCGUGCCAGCAGCCGCGGUAAUACGGAGGGUGCGAGCGUUGUUCGGAAUUACUGGGCGUAAAGCGCGUGUAGGCGGCCUUGCAAGUCAGGCGUGAAAGCCCUCGGCUUAACCGGGGAAGUGCGUCUGAAACUGCUUGGCUUGAGUACGGGAGAGGGAGGCGGAAUUCCCAGUGUAGAGGUGAAAUUCGUAGAUAUUGGGAGGAACACCGGUGGCGAAAGCGGCCUCCUGGACCGAUACUGACGCUGAGACGCGAAAGCGUGGGGAGCAAACAGGAUUAGAUACCCUGGUAGUCCACGCGGUAAACGAUGGGCACUAGGUGUGGGGGGUAUCCACUCCUCCCGUGCCGAAGCUAACGCAUUAAGUGCCCCGCCUGGGGAGUACGGCCGCAAGGUUAAAACUCAAAUGAAUUGACGG
rnacentral:rRNA from 1 species